GCUUAGGAAGACACUCUGAAGAAUAGGGGAGAAGAUUUUUUGCUUAAAACGUUAAAAACAACAAAAGACAAGUCAAGACGUUUUAUGGCAACAGACUAAACACAUAGUUAUUUUCUAAGGAAAACACAUUGUGUUCAAUGUCUUUGUACUUCCUCCUUGAAUUAUAUUGCUUGCAAAGAACAAGGUUUGAAAGGACUAAUCAAACACCAUCAAAACUAAUACUAG
rfam:Equus caballus chromosome 20, whole genome shotgun sequence.